rnacentral:lncRNA from 1 species
UUUGUUUUUUUUUUAAUCUUAUUUUUUCUAAAAUAUUAAUUUUCUUUACAAAUUUUUUUUAUGGAUUUAGAGUUUUAAAAUUGAAACUGAAAUUUUUAAUUAUUAUUUUGUGAAAAAUAAGGUAAAGCGAGACAAAAUUGUGUGAAAUAUGGGGUAAAGUGAGACAAAAUGAGAUUCAUGGGGUAAAGUGAGACUCAAAUACACUUUCAGGAGGUAUAUAAAAAAACAAGCCUAAAAAAAAAACAAACCCACCUCAUCCUCCCCCACUUUAAUCCCAACCCCCAUCUCAUCGCUGUUCUGCAACAGCCUCUUAGUAUCCCACCUUCCCCAUCCUCUCUCUCUCUCUCUCUCUCUCUCUCUCUCUCUCUCUCCGAACAAACCUAGAGCCUUGCAACCCUAAUAAACGUUUGAAGAGAGAAAUAGAGGGAGAGAGGAGAAUGGGACAUGGAGGGAGGGGAAGAAAAGGUGGGCUGUGAGGUGGAAAAGAUGUGGCGCUGGGGCAAUGGUUAUUGGGCUGGGAGGUGGGAGAGGGAAAUAGGUUUUUAUUUUAUAGUUUUUAAUUUAUUUACUAUUUUAUUUAAUUGGACUCUUUUACCCCUAUAUUUGACAGUAAUAUUGAUAGAAAGGGAUGCUCAGGAUACUUGGCUCAUGUGAUUGAUACAUGGGAUAAUGGAUUGCAAUUGGAAGAUAUUUCAGUGGUACAAGAGUUUUUGGAUGUAUUCCCAGAAUAGCUUCCUGGAUUACCUCCUGAAUGGGAGAUGAAUUCACUAUUGAACUCAUCCCAGGAACAAAUUCUAUUUCUUAGGCGCCGUAUAGAUUGGCACCAGCUGAAUUGAGAGAGUUGAAAACUCAGUUGUAGGAGUUGGUAGACAAGGGUUUCAUUCGACCUAGUUUUUCUCCUUGGGGUGCAUCAGUUUUGUUCGUGAAGAAGAAGAAUGGCACCAUGAGGUUGUGCAUUGAUUACAGACAAUUGAACAAGGUCACAGUGCGGAACCGAUAUCUGUUGCCACGCAUUGACGACUUGUUCGAUCAAUUGAAGGGUGCUAAGGUAUUUUCUAAGAUUCUUUUGAGAUUAGGCUAUCAUCAGUUACGAAUCAGGGAAGAUGAUGUACCUAAGACUACUUUCCGGAUGAGGUAUGGCCAUUAUGAGUUUUUGAUGAUGCCUUUUGGGCUAACUAAUGCACCAGCAGCGUUUACGGAUCUCAUGAACAGAGUGUUCAGACGUUCUCUGGACCGCUUUGUGAUUAUGUUCAUAGACGAUAUCCUUAUGUAUUCCAAAAGUGAAAAGGCGCACAUGAAGCACUUGGAAAUUGUGCUGAGAACUUUAAGAAUGAGACAAUUGUGUGCAAAAUUCAGCACAUGUCAGUUUUCGUAAGACAUAGUUUCUUGGGGAACGUGAUCUCUGUUAAAGGUAUCUAUGUAGACCCCCAAAAGGUGGAAGCAGUGGUAAACUGGCCACGACCAACCAAUGUCACUGAGGUACGAAGUUUUCUUGGGUUGGCAGGGUACUACAGUCGCUUGGAGAAGGGUUUCUCUACCAUAGCUACACCCUUCAAGGAAAGAAGUUAUGUUUGAAUGGACAAAUGAGUGUGAGGAAAGCUCUACUGAGUUAAAAACCAGGUUAACAACUGCUCUAGUAUUGGCAUUUCCUGACGAUAGUGGAAACUUUGUUAUCUACAGUGAUGCAUCACGACAUGGUUUCUGUUAUGUGUUGAUGCAACAUGGUAAGGUAAUCGCUUUUGCUUCUAGGCAACUUAAGAAGCAUGAGUUGAAUACCCUACGCAUGAUUUCGAGCUUGCUGUGGUACUGUUCGAGUUAAAGAUUUAGCGAUAUUAUCUUUAUUGGGAGACAUGCCAAAUUUUUACGGAUCAUAAUAAAAGGCUAAAGUAUUUGUUCACCUAGAAGGAAUUAAAUUUGAGACAAAGGAGAUGGUUAGAAUUGAUAAAGGACUAUGAUUGUACCAUUGAACAUCAUACUGGGAGAGCUAAGUUGUGGCUGAUGCCAUUAGCAGGAAGUCGUCUGGGUCCUUGGCUCAUCUCCGAGGGAAGUAUCUUCCAUUGUUGGUUGAAUUGAGAAAUUUGAGAGUUGGGUUAAAUAUGGAUGAUCAAGGGGCUUUGCUUGCUACUCUCCACGUAAGACCGGUGUUAGUUGAACAAAUUAUCGAAGCCCAAAUGCAGGAUUCAUUAAUUUUACACAUUAAGGUUAGAGGUUGAAAAUGGUACAGGAAUAGAUUAUUCUAUGAGAAGGGAUGGAGCUUUGAUGGUAGGAACAAGAUUGUAUGUUCUCGGGAAUGAAGCACUAAAGAGGGAAAUUCUUGAGGAGGCCCACUGUUCGGCCUUCGCCAUGCAUCCUGGCAGCACAAAAAUAUACUGCACCCUAAGAAAUCAUUAUUGGUGGCCUGUAAUCAAGCAAAUUCCAAGUUAUGCAAAGUUCUUGAAGGACCUUUGUACCAACAAGAGGAAAUUCAAAUAUCAUGAAACGGUUGCACUAACGGAAGAGGUUUAUGUUGUUUUGCAAAGGAAGCUCCCUCCCAAAGUUAAAAGAUCCAUGAAGUUUUACAAUUCCUUGUGUUAUUGGUGAUAAAAUGUUUGAACCCCGCCAAGCGCAAACACUAUGUGCUCUCUCUGCAGAGAUAGAAACGUUCUCUUUACUCUUACAAUCCUCAAGUGAGAGAUCUCAGACAGUUUGCUCAUAAGCUCAAUGAUUGUGAUACCUCUUAAGGUGCUUUCUUGGCUACUCUUGAAGAAAUCUCACAACCAUCCACUAGAGAAAAUGCGCUUUUGAUACUCAAUAGCUUGAAGCUAUGGCAGAAAACCCAAAUGUUCUUCAAUUGGGUGAAAACCCAUAAUUUUUUAAGAAAAAAGAGGAUUAAAAUAAAAACAAAAACUGCAUCCCUAUCCUUGCAUCCCUAUCCUCCCCCUCCCCCUCCAUCUCCCCAUCUGCCCGCAUCCUCCUCUUUUUUUUUUUCUCUCUCUCUCUCUCUCUCUCUGUUACCCCCGAGCCAAACCUCAGCCCACUCCCUGUCAUCCACGACCCACUCACUGCCCCUCUAUCUUUCCCUCAUCUUCUUUUUUUUCCCCUUAUCUUUCUUUGUGUGUUAUCUUUUCCAUUUGCGAAAGGUGCCUCUGAUUUUUUUCCCCCAACUACCCAAACCACCCCCACGCUUGAGCCUUACAUGUGACCCAACAGAGGGACCGUUUGCAGGGAGAGAGAGAGAGAGAGAGAGAGAGAGAGAGAGAGAGAGAGAGAGAGAGAGAGAGAGAGAUGUAAUUUUUGUUUUUGUUUUAAUCUUAUUUUUUCUAAAAUAUUAAUUUUCUUUACAAUUUUUUUUUAUGGAUUUUAAGUUUUAAAAUCUAAAUUGAAAUUUUUAAUUAUUAUUUUUUGAAAAAUGAGGUAAAGUGAGAUAAAAUUGUGUGAAAUAUGGGAUAAAGUGAGACAAAAUGAGAUUCAUGGGGUAAAGUGAGACUCAAAUACACUUUUAGGAGGUAUAUAAAGAAAUAAGCCUAAAAAAAAAAAAAACCAACCCACCUCAUCCUCCCCCACUUUAAUCCCAACCCCCAUCUCAUCGAUGUUCUGCAACAGCCUCUUGGUAUCCCACCCUCCCCAUUCUCUCUCUCUCUCUCUCUCUGAACAAACCCAGAGCCUUGCAGCCCCUAUAAACGUUUGAAGAGAGAAAUAGAGGGAGAGAUGAGGAGGGGACAUGGACGGAGGGGAAGAAAAGGUGGGCUGUGAGGAGGAGAAGACGGGGAGCUGGGGCAAUGGUUAUCAGGCUGGGAGGUGGGACAAGGAAAUAGGUUUUUAUUUUAUAGUUUUUAAUUUAUUUAAUAUUUUAUUUAAUUGGACUCUUUUACCCCUAUUUGACAGUAAUAUUGAUAGAAUGUGACGGUAAGACCAGUGUGCCGAUUAAUAAAGAGUUGGUGAACCAUUUAAACGAAUAAUUUAAUUGAAGGACUAAAAUGCAACUCGAGUGUAAAUUUGAGGACCAUUUAAGUAAAUAACUCUACUAUAGUAAUAUAUAGCCUUGCUUGUGCCUAACAUAUCACAUAUCUAAGGGCUGCUA